GGGGUGCUAAUACCGGAUAAGACCACGGCCUGUACGCAGGCUGCGGCUAAAGGUGGCCUCUCCAUGGAAGCUAUCGCCCGAGGAUGAGCCCGCGCCCCAUCAGCUUGUAGGUGAGGUAAGAGCUCACCAAGGCUUAGACGGGUAGCUGGUCUGAGAGGAUGGUCAGCCACACUGGAACUGAGAGACGGUCCAGACUCCUACGGGAGGCAGCAGUGGGGAAUAUUGCGCAAUGUUUUGAAGCCUGACGCAGCGACGCCGCGUGAGCGAUGAAGGCCUUCGGGUCGUAAAGCUCUGUUGGAAGUGAACGACAAAGUCCAUGGUUAAUAUCCAUGGAGCCUGACGGUACUCUUCCAGAAAGCACCGGCUAACUUCCGUGCCAGCAGCCGCGGUAAUACGGAGGGUGCUAGCGUUGUACGGAAUCAUUGGGCGUAAAGCGCGGGUAGGCGGGGCGGCGUGUCGGAUGUGAAAGCCCUCGGAUCAACCGAGGAAUUGCAUCCGAAACUGUCGCUCUUGAUUACGGGAGAGGGGAACCGGGAUUUCCAGGUAGAGGGAAAUUCGUAAGAUAUUGGAAGGAACAACCGGUGGCGAAGGCGGCUUCCUGGACCGGAUACUGACGCUGAGACGCGAAAGCGUGGGUAGCAAACAGGGAUUAGAUACCCUGGUAGUCCACGCAGUAAACGAUGAGCACUAGGUGUUGCGGGUAUCGACCCCUGCAGUGCCGAAGCCAACGCAUUAAGUGCUCCGCCUGGGGACUACGGUCGCAAGACUAAAACUCAAAGGAAUUGACGGGGGCCCGCACAAGCGGUGGAGCAUGUGGUUCAAUUCGACGCAACGCGCAGAACCUUACCCGGGCUUGACAUCCUGGGAAUCCCCGAGGAAACCGGGGAGUGCCUGCUUUGCAGGAGCCCAGUGACAGGUGCUGCAUGGCUGUCGUCAGCUCGUGUCGUGAGAUGUUGGGUUAAGUCCCGCAACGAGCGCAACCCUCGUCCUUAGUUGCCAGCAUUCAGUUGGGCACUCUAAGGAGACUGCCGGUGUUAAACCGGAGGCACCCGAGGACGACGUCAAGUCCUCAUGGCCCUUAUGCCCGGGGCUACACACGUGCUACAAUGGCCGGUACAAUGGGCUGCGAACCUGUGAAGGGAAGCUAAUCCCAAAAAGCUGGUCUCAGUUCGGAUUGGAGUCUGCAACUCGACUCCAUGAAGGAGGAAUCGCUAGUA
rnacentral:rRNA from 1 species